rnacentral:lncRNA from 1 species
AGAGAAAACUGGGCAUUUUACUCUUGAAAGACAUACUAGUAUACCAUUUAAACAGAGAUCUGUCGCUGAAGAGCUGUGCCCAGAUGCUAUUAUAAAAGAAUAAAUUCAAAUCUGCAAUGGAUUAAAAAUUUAAGAUACUUACAGUGAAUCUUCAAUGACGAGGCAGUUGGAAGGUUUGACACUUAGCCUUUUUGAUGCUUCAAAAAAUCUUAAAUAAGCAAAACCCACAAAGUUAGAAUUUCAGAAGACUGAGAAUUUAUGUUUUAUUUAGACGAUAAAUAUUCACCAAAGUCAAGCUCAAGCAAUGAGUUGUUGCAUCUCACAUUUCAGGAGAUGGCUUCCCCAUUCUGACUUCAUCACCUCCAAUUAUAACAGAGAAGGAUUCUUUCCAACCUAUAAAUGAAAGAGCAUGAACAAAUAAGGUUGGCAAUAAAAAACAUGAACCAUAAGAUUCCCUUAUUCAUAUCUCACUUCCAGUAGAUUAUUCUCAGAUAAGGAUGCUAAAACCUACCCUGAUGGCAAGAUAUUUUUGAUUCUAUGGAUGCCCUUGGAGAGUUUGAAGCCAAUGCUAUUGGCACACCAUGACCAUGCAAAUGUUUAAUUAAUCGAUUGGCACCUGGAAGAGCCUUAAUAUUGCACCACCUACAGUGAAAAUGGUAGCACCACAUUCAGCAAACUGUCACACAGGUUCCUACUAAGCGAGCACAGAAAGCAGUAUGUAAAACACUAAUGGCUCUAUUAUUAUAAUCUGGGAACCUAUUUAGAUAUAAAUUAUGCAAAUAAUUUCUAUAUCAGAAUGCAAUAGCUGAAAGCCUUUGAUACAUUAAAAGUAUAUUUUUAAACAAAGAAAUGAAUAUAGCAUACAUUAUAUAACAUAUGGUUUCUAAAAUCCACUAAAAUCAGCAACAUCAAGGAGAUCAAUUUGAGCCCUUUGCUUUGAUGUCAAGGACAAACUCCACUUGAAACAAUGUUAGACAGCAUUACUGUAGCAAGAAUAUCCCACUAGCAUGAAAACAAUAAAGAAUAACUAUGGAAAACACAAGAAAAUAAAGAUUGAAUUCCUACGAUUUGCAACAAAAAUAAGAUUACAAAUCAUAGGGAUUAGCUAAAAUUUUAACAAAAAUUAGUAGAGAAGCUAAGGAUCAGGCAAGGUCAUCACUCUCAUUGGAUUUAAAUCUUCUAUAUGUUUUUCCAAGAUCUCUUACUUGUCUAAUAUGAAGAGAAUUGUUCUGGAACUUCUCCCACAUUUAUGGAUUUUCAUUUUUUCUUAGCUGACACUAAUCUUAUGUUUUAGCACCUGCAUGCUUUUGAUACAAAAAAUAAAAAUAAAAUAAUGUGAGAUAAGGGGAGUAAGGAAAAACAAAAGGAAAAAGAAGUUAAAUAUGUUGAUUAAAAAGCAUCUAUCACUCAUCAACAAGAAAAUUUCCAGUUGGGGUGGGAUUAGAAUGCUCUAAGUUUUAGUUCAUAAAUACAACACAGGUGGAAGCCCCUAUGCUUUGGCUAUCAACAUUGCAACAAGUUUGCAGUUGGAAUACAGUAUCCAAACUUGUAUUACACAUCCAUACCCAAAAUUCAGAAGACUUCACCUUUGCCACUGCUGAUUCCUAGACAAGUUAACAACUACCAACUUGAAUCACUUGAAUCAAUACACACUAAGAUUUCUGGAAUUUGAAUUAAGAUCCUCCUAAUUUAAAUUAUUCUGAUCCAUAUCCUUAAUUCUGAAAUAAAAGGAAAUGUAUAAGUUACUUACUGAUUGGAGAACAUUGGGGUAAUUUCUGACAUAAGUUCUUCAGUUGUGCAAGGGAGCCCAUAGUCUUCCACAAUAACAGCUGCAGCUUCAAAAGGUGUCUUUCCAAUUAACUUAUGAGCCACUUUCCCAUUCCAUUGCUUUUCAUACUUAACCAGGAAAACUUUUAAGACUUCACUCACAAUGCCAUCUGCAAUAAAAUUGAAAGUAAACUAUAAUCUACAUGCAUCCAUUUAAUCUAAUAGUGGAAAAGAAGCAUAACGAAAUGAAGAUGAAGAUUAAUGGGAAGAGCACAACUUCACCUGUGUUAAGAAGGGUGCCAUCCAAAUCAAGGAUAACACCAGAGACUAACUUCUUUAGAGGCUUUGCUGCAGACAUUUUGAAUACCAAACAAGGACUUUCAACAGAGAUUAUGCGGCCAUUCUAUAGCUGAAGAAAAAUAGAGAUGAAUAAGAUUAAAAGAGGAGACUGAGGCAAUGGAAUCCCACCAGUGUAGAAGAAAGGAGAAAAUGUAUUUUAUGGAUCAGAGCUGAACCCAAUUUGGAAUUCCAAUUCCAUGGAAUACCAACACCAUGUUUUGCCUUUUUCUUUAUGUUCCGUACAUUUCUUCAGCUUUCAAAAGUUUAAGUAGCUAAAUUACCUCAACUGAUAUUUCAAAACUCCAAUUCAGAAAUGCUCCAGCAUGUACUUGUAGAGUCUGCAAUGAAGAAUGCACAAUGUAAUUGAAAUCGUGAAAAGGGUGUCAAGGCACCCAACAUUUGACACAUAUUUUAUGUUUUCCUGAAGCCAAACAUGAGAAGAGAGAAGGAGCCCCUUACAUGGAUAUGAAAUUGUUGCCCAAAAAGAUGAUGUUGUCAUGAGAGAGAAAAGGAGCAUACCAACCCAAAGCGCUUACAGAGAUAGGUAGUUUUGAACAGGGCCUGCAUUAUUGUAAGGACCUAUACACAUCACAUAUGGAUAAAUUGAUUUGAAUAGGGUCUUUCUAGAGACUGAGAAAUCAAGGAGCAAUAAUGUGUCAGCAUGUGAUUGACGUGAAGUGGAUGUUAUGUAGUCCUUGGAUGGGCUCCUUCAACUCUUUGCUAUUAUAAUAUUGGGGAUUCAAUUUCACUCCCCACUUCAGUCUUUCCUAUUCCACCAUUUUUUUAUUUUUAUGUUUUAAAUCAAAAUGAACAUGUAGACAAAGAUAUACAAUUGUUCUCAUGUUUUUCCUCCAAUCAAACCUCGCCCAAAAACCUACAUCCCUCCUCUUUUCACUUUUUAUUUUAUUUUCAUUUUUUAAUUUAAAGUGUAGAAGAAGAUGAUAUAAUGAAAACAAAAUGGAAGGAAAAGAAUGCUCACUUUAAUUUAAAGGAGAUUCUUACAUUAUUAAAGAGGUGUCAUAUUGAAAAUCAAUACUGUCAUCAUAUUAUAUAUACCUUAGUCGUUUUUUUUCAUCCAAACUACAUUUUUGUACUCCUAUUCAUGCUAGAAAAUUAGUAGAACCCUAAAAAGACAAACCUGAGACACUCCUCAUUUCACGAAAUAGCAUCACUACAGACAAAUCCUAAUUUUUCAUCAUUCAGAAAUCAGAAUACCAUAAAACAUGAAUUUGGGAAAAUCAAACAAGAUAAACAAUCUUCGUUUUCCCUUUCCUCCACUUUCCAGCUACCAAACGAAAAAUCCCAACUUAUCAACAACCAAAACAAAACAGAAUCUAAAAUUAAGGGAAAAAAAAGAACUCCUCCUUUGCGCCACCCCCCACAACCAAGGAGAAAAUCAGCAACAUAACACAUAUUUCACAUUCCUUCCUUCUCUCAUCGGCAAUCAAACAGAAUUUACCCACUGACCUGAGAUGAUACUUGGCAUCCUCAUCCUACCGGCCAGAAGAGAGACGGCCAUCAUAAAAUCCAUAAGCAUCUUGAUCGUUGCAGAUAUGCGCAUAUAAAGGAAUCUUUGAAGGUAUCAAUCGAUGAUUGGCGGAGCAACCAAGCACCUGGGCGUUUAGAAGGAAAAAGGGUCAUUCCAACUAAAAGAAUAAUUUUGUGUGGGAAAAAUCUUAGAUAAAUACGGAUACGAAAUAGAUUUUAUAAAUUUUUUAUUUUAGAUUUUAUUUAGUGUUCAUAAAAUUAAUUUUAUUUGAAAACUAUGUAGAUGUUAAAAAAAUAAUUUUUUUUAUAAUUUUAUAUUUAAAAUUUUUUCAAUGGUAGUUUAUCUUGUUUUGAUUUUAUAAUUUUUUUUUUUAAUAUUUAGAUUUUUAGGUUUAAUUAACUAGAUAUUAAUUUACAAAUGAUUAUGUAAAGCAUGAUUUUAAACAAAAGAGAAACAAUAAAAAGUCAUUGUCAAUUAAUUUUUAUUUAUAAAUUUUUUAUAUUAAUUGAUUCCUUAAUUGAAUUUUAAAUUGCUUUUUAAAAAUUAUUAGAUUUGUUAAUAAUUUAAAUGUCUUAAGUUUUACUUUAUUUGAAAUUUAUUUACAGAAAAAUAUAAUUUCAUAUAAAAAAAACUAAUAAAGUAAUUCAUAAUAAAUUUUGAAUGAUUUUGAUAAAAACAUGCCUAAUUAAGAAAGAAAUCAUAUUUGAUGCUUUUGAUAUUACUUAGUGAAAAGAGAACAGGAAAAGAAAUAGCUCCCAUUAUAUUUUAUUUAUUUUUUAUGAUUUUUUUUAAGUUAUAUUUUUAUUUGUUUUUCAUGUUUUCUUUUUAUUUUUAAAAGGGACUGAAAAUAACAAUCCACUCAUAUUUUAUUGAAUUUAUUUUUAAAAACUAAUUUUCAUUUAAAGAAUAAAAAAACUAAUUUCAGAAAACAAAGUCAAACAUACUCAUAUUUAAAAAAAAAUAAAAAUAACUUUUACUUAUUCUUUAAAAAUUGUUUUCAAAAAACAAUAACAGUUUUCCCUUUACAUAAAGCUGUUUUAAAAUCAUAUCAACAAACACGGUCUUAUUUUUUUAAAACUAUUUCUAGACCACAACCAUCAAACAUGCCCUUAAAUUUAAAAAAUAAACCGUUUUCAUUGAUACCUGUUUUUAAAUCAUACUGACAAUCACACUAAAAAGAUUUAUUUUAUUUGGCUGUUUAUGAAAAAAUUAAGGAAAUUAAAUUAAAUUUACUAGAAAUCCACUCUCUUCAAACCUUUUUUCAUAUUUUCUUUUAAAAAUAGAGAUGAAAAUCUUUUAGUAUUUUCUCCCUCUAAACAUAGACUACAUGAUAAAGUUACCUUCUAGAACACCAGCAAGCACUAAGAAAACAAAGUUAGUAACCAAUUCUUGACCUAGCUAAGAGAAAAGAACCACUGCAUUUGGGGAGGCUCUUGGGAAGCUUAACAAGCUUUGAGCUGAAUUUAGUGAGCUCCACCGCGAUCUAGACUGAGAAUCCUUUUUGGCACAGAUCUCCACCUUUUCCAGCAUCCUUGCAUUCUUAAGUAGAAAUUUUACCAGUCCAAACACAAGUUCAAUUCCAGGCUGGUUCCAGAUAACGCCAAUAAUCUUGACAGUCUUGAGAUUUAUCAAUGAAUUAGCUAAUACCCCCUCCCUUGAGCUCCAGUAUUUCUCUUCAUCAAAAUUGUGAAGGUCGGUGAAGCUGAAGCCUACCUCUACAGAAAUCUGAAGAGAAGGAUAAUGUUAGGUUCGAAAUCUUUUAAGUGUGUCCUGAAGCAAAAAGAAAGCGAGAGGAAGCAUAAGAACAAAAAGGAAAAUUCAUUCUAAACAAAACUUUUUUAAGUAGAAAACAUCAAGGAUUUGUAGUUACAGAAUCCUUUCUCUGAUCAGUCUCCUUAAAGGCCACCUAGAACUUAGCUUCUAGGAAUCACCUCAAGAUAGAUCAAUUCAAGUCAUUGAANNNNNNNNNNNNNNNNNNNNNNNNNNNNNNNNNNNNNNNNNNNNNNNNNNNNNNNNNNNNNNNNNNNNNNNNNNNNNNNNNNNNNNNNNNNNNNNNNNNNAGUCCUGAACUGGUGGCAGAAAUGAUAGGCUCUAUGAGGAGGAACAUCGAACCUAAUCACAGGCCAAGAAUAUUCUUCUUCCACCUGCUUUGCUUCAUUUCCAAUUUCUUCAGCUUCAUCGCCCAAAUUAGGCUGUUCCUCCUCUCCCUCUUCCAUUGCCUCUGUUACUGACAUUUUUUUUAUAUUCAAGAUUUGCUUUUACCGCCAAAUGAAGUGUUGUGAGCUUCCACCCCCGAGCGCUGCUGUCGCGAGGCUGUCUUCCACAGAGGCUUUCGUUUGCCAAUUAAUAUGAUGAUUAUUUAAUAAAUAAAUAAAAAAUAGUGCUCAGAAUGCAAAUUUUUGGCCAAUGAGGCCGAGUUACGUCAGACGGGGGCCUAGGCCCACGUGAGUCCUUUCUAGGGUCUGUGAGGUUUAGGGUCCGUUCAGCUGCAACUGCUGAUAAAAUGCCUCAAGAUUUUUAAUAAUUCAGAUAUUUUAUAUUUAACAUAGUGUGAUGAUGCAUGUGCUUUUAGAAAAUAUUUUUAAUAUAAAAAAUAUUUUUGAAGAAAAAAAUCAGAUGUUUAUCAAAAUUUAAAGUGUAUUUUAAAAGGUUGAAAAAUCAAUUUUGGUACUUUUUUUAUAAAGCCAUUAUAAAUGAUUUUAUUUUAUUAAAAAACAUAUUUAGAGAACAUUCUAAAUUUUAAAUAGAAAGUUCUUAAAUAUUUAUGGUAUAAUAUUAUAGAAUUAGGUAGUGUUUGUUUUUUUACUUAAUUCUAAAUAAAAUCUUAAUGCUUAAUAGUGUUAAAUAUUAUGUUGUUUAUUUUUAUAGUAUUUUAUUUCUAUUAGAAAAAAUUACAUAUUUUGGUUUUUUUUAUUUAGUAAAAAAUUUAUAAUAAAUCAUAAAUAAAAAAUAAAAAAACAAUCUAAAUUUUGAAAACAAAUUAUUUUCAACAAAAAACAAAAAAAACAAAUAUCACCUAGCCGUUUUUAAAAUUUAGACAACUCAAGAUAUUUGAUGUUGUUAAAUCAAUCUUGCCUUCAUACUUAACUUGCAAGGCUAAGUAAUGCAUAAAACUUGGAAAUUAUGAUGAAAACGAAAGGCAAUUUAAGAAAUGAAGAUAGUAUUGCACAAAAAAAUUUUACUAUACUUAGAAAGCUCUCAAUUGCUUGGUGUCUUGGUCAAAUAUAAUCAUUACUUAUUUAUAGGCAACCAAGAAACUCUAUAAAACUCACAAAGGCUCUUUAUAUUUCCAGAAUUAUCUAGAAACUUCUUAACAAAGGUUAUAUACGAGUAUUAAUGAGACUUGUCUAGAACUCUCUAAAUAGUUUCAUACUUUUCUUUUUAUUGUCUUUCACCUUAAUGUAGAAAUGUGUGGACAUCUCUAAGUUUCUCUAAAACUUUCCACACUCCACUAAUGUAGAUGACUCCAAGAAACUUAGAAAACUUCUUGUUUUUCUAUAUAACCUCAAGAAGGUACAUUUGAGCAAGUUAUAACAAUAAACUCCUUUUUUAAGCCUCUCAAACAACCCAACAUGAUAUCCAUUGAUAAAGAUUCUUCAUACUUUGUUAUUAGUGCUUUCCAAUUCACAAAAAAAUCUUUCUUUUUGUGAAUUAGCAAAAGGGUCCUUUCGUAAAUUGCCAAUUAGGAAAUUGGCACGAAGCUGGCUAUACGCUCCCUUCUUCUACUAAUGUGCAGCGAUGAAGCAGGUUGUAUGUUGGUAAGGAGAGUGAGCGGGGAGCUCACAGCCUCACACAAGUGAAGAACACCAAUCAUUUCACUAUAUUUAUCUCAUUAUCUUUGUUUGUUUGUUUGGAUUUUUUUUUUAAUCAUUCUCUCAAGAAACACUCUCUUCUAGAGAAAAUAUUGAAAAUAUUUCAACUAAACAAGAGCAUUCUGAUACCUCUUGUUCGUUAUUCAUUUCCCAAUAUUUAUGCCAUCAACUUUAUUUAUUUUUAAAAAGUAAUAGUGACGCAAUGACACUGAGAUUGAGAAGAGACCAAUGGAAGAAACGCUAAUGAAACUCUUUGCAAACGUGUGGUGUCUCUUCCACCAUAUAUAGACAAACAUGAUAGUGGUUUGAUAUUUCCUUCACUUCUAAAUGCGAAUAUAAAUACUGGAUCUCUUCCAACAUUAAUUUGCCCUCCAUUGUGUUCUCAUGGUAUUUUAGCAUCAAGUCUCAUCAAAAUAAGAGAAUAUUAGGGUCACAAUCAUUUUCCUUUCAACUGAUAUCUCUCAGUUUAAGAAUGAUUUUCGACCCCAUGCAAGGGGAUUUUCAAGUAGGGGUCAUCCUUGAAGUUUGAGUACAAGGGAAGAUCAAGAGCUCUUUCUGCAAUUCUCCUAUCCUCAUGAAUCUUUGCUAUCAGGCUCUCAAGGGAUGAAAAAUUGGCCUGUUGCAUGAAAAGUACAAAAAUCAGUAACAUAAUAUUUAAAAAGUCAGGACUUGGGUAAGGAGGCUGCUGAUUGAUUACUAAUACCUCAGGUCGUAUGUAGCCAACAAUGACAAGAUGUAAUUCCUCACCAUAGAAAUCCUCAUCAAAUUCGUGAAGCAGCCAUGGCUCCUAAAAUUGUAAAUGGGAUUUAGAAAAACAGAGAGAAAAAAUAUUUGGAAGGUCCACCUUUACAGUCCAAGUUGCACUCACUAUAGUUUUCUCGGUGUUGUUGAAAUAUGGAUUCCAGCCAAUGCUCAUCACCAUCUUGUAGACACCCUGUUUUGAUAAUCCAGCCCAACCGAAAUAUACUCCAGAGGAUUGUUCAGAAAGAAGAGUUGAAUAGCCCUCGGUGGAUAAAUUAGCUGAAAGGAUGAAGUUAUGGGUGAUUUCAAUAAUUAAAAAGAACUUGAAACUGCUAUCUUGUAGAAAGAAAAAUGCCAAACAUUCUUAAUAGCCUUACAUUCAUUAUUGUAACAACAAACCCUAUUCAUGCAAUUGGUCAAUAAAUAAAUAAUAUCAGUUUCCAAAUAUGAUUUGUGUUUUUGACCCUUAUAUAUAUAGCCUACUGAUUGCGCUUGCAUUUCUUCAGAUUGUGUUCAGUUGACAACAAUGGCCUUGAAGUGGUUCCUAAGUUCUGUAUCUGUUUAACUGAUGGAAGGAUCAUAAAAGGAAAUAGACUAAAUGGAGAUAAAACAUAGAGAAAAAAAUUACUAAUAAUCCUAAUUCCACCCAACCAAAGUCAUAAUGUAGAAUAUUGAGUCACAUCAUCAACAACUAUAGAACAACUAUAUAAGAGCUAAAAUUAACAACCUAGAAUGAAUCAACAAAAGCACAUUGUAAUUAAAGCAAGCUACAAGGACUUGUGCAAUUCAACACCAAGCACAUCCAAAGGUCAAAGAAAUGUCCAUAGGAAUUUAGCUUAUCUAGGCAAAGGUAUUGGAGAAAGUCAGAGAAAAUCACGAACCUGUUGGGACUCCAAGUACCUUUGACCCACGACCAAAUCCCUUAAUGACAGGCCCACCUAUAUACCAAGGCUCUACUGGUAAGGUAUCCUCGACCCCUGCAGUUACAAAUCAAUAGUUCAGAUGAAAAUAAGUAAUACCAAGAGAACCUUACUAGGAAAUGUUUGAGAAUAUGAUAAGAAGUAUCUGAGAGGUUUACAAUCUUGGAAUGAAGGUAAGCCCCACUGUUCUGGUCGCAAAUCAAGUAGAGAGUUGAUCACCUCGUCUGCCGAAUUGAAAAUAUGGGAUUGUUUUGGAAUGGAAGGUACAGCAACCACUUCCAUUCCAGCAGCCUUACCAGCCAUAACACCAGGUCUGACACAAUGCAGUCCCACAAUCAAAAACUGAUAUGGAGCUUUCUUUAUUGCUUUCUAAUCAAAUACAAAAAAUUAUGCCAAUUCCAGAUCCAGUUGAUCAGAAGGAGGAACAAAGAAGAACUAGAUGGAAAUAGAACAUAAAUGUCUUUGGACUAAAAAUCUAGUGAAAUAUUAUUUGUUAAAAGAAAACAAACCUUAGUCCAGAAUCCUCCUAUAAAUAAGUUUAAUCUCAAUCCAAUAUAUCUUUGAUACUUGAUUGGUUGGUCUAAGGUAAUUGACAAAAAAAAUUUGUCGAAGUGAGAUCAUUGUCCAGCUCAACCCCCACCCCCAAAGUUGCUUCUAUUAUUUCUCACAAUAUAUAUCAUCAAGGCAUAGAUGCAAUAAUUCAUUGGUUUUCAACUACUUUUCUUGGGCUGUUUUUUUUUUUUGAUAACCGUGGAUGUUCGGGCCAGCUUACGUGCACCUCGACUAAUCCCAUGGGGCCCUGAAGUUAACGACCAGGUAAACCUUUAGUGGCCCUAAGGGGACUCGAACUAGUGACCAUUGGGGAGCAAAACCAAGGCUAGACCAACUGAGCUACCCCUCAGGGUUUUACUUUUCUUGGGUUGUUAUCCACGGGAAGUUGUCUCUUUGAUUAUUUAAUUAAGUUGCUAAUCUUAUCCUCUUUUAUCCAAUAUAGAAAACAUUAACAAAGAAAUAUACAAUCAGACUAAAACAAAAAGAAACAAAGACAUGGCAAAGAUAAUCUCAAUGGGAAGUCAUUUUUAUCAUUCGAUGUCUAGCAAGUAGUCCAGUAUGCUCAUCUUUAUAAUGCUAGAAAGUGUUUCAAAUUCUUAAUUACUAAAUGUUCUUUUUUGUAAAGAAUAUUGUAUAUAAUACUUCUUAUAUGAAUAUAUCAUUGUAAUAUUAUAAUUCCUUAUAGAAUAAGAAAAUUAUUUAAAAUAUCUUUAUAAAUAUUUUAGAUCAUGCGAGAAAAAGUUUAUAAGAUAGAGAUAGACUUGUGAAGAUGAUAUGUGGUAGAUAGAGAUGUAGGGAAGAAUAAGAAACACCAGAUAGAGCGAGGGGCUUGUGGUUCAAGGUGUGGAUACGGGCAAAUAUGGGAUAUUUCAAAACCUAAUAGUUGUAUCUAGCUUCUAUUCUUUGUAAUAUCCUCUAUCGUAUAGUGAAUGAUUUUUCUCAUUUGUGGAUGUAAGCAGGAUUGGUUGAAACACAUUAAAACCUUGUGUACUUUUAUGUGUGAUUGGUUUUAUCUUUAUGUUAGUAUAUUAACAUCUUUGCAUUAAAGCUUCUAUUAGCCUAACACAUAAAACUUGACAGAUAGAAGCUGCAGUGAUUGUAAAAAAAAAGAAAAGAUGAAUCCAUUUCUAAGAACUGUAACUGCAAAUACUGUCCAGCCACCUGGAAAAUGUAUAAAACCAUAAAGACUACUUAAAGGCAGUUCUUUAUUACACAUACAAAGUGCAUUACACUACUUUCAUUUGUUUAGGCAUUAGACUCUCUUCAUUUGUUUAGCAUAUGACAAAGGCACAUUAUUAAGGCUCAUGCAAAUAUAACCCAAAAAUUUGAGCAUAAAUAAUUAAAUAUUCAUACAUCAGAUCUUGUUAUAUUGGAUUUUCUGGAAGCCAGUUUCAUCUUUAUGGAGGAUUGGGCUUUUAAUACUUAAAAGAGAAUGAAGUGUGCAAAUUGAACGAAAUUGGAAUGAGUCCUCAUGCAGCCAUGUUCAUUCCUAAGCUUAGAGAGAAAAUAGAAUUAUGACAAAACAAAUGUUUUUAUAUACCUGAUCAACAAAUAAAAAGCUUAAAGUUUUCAGGAAAAUAUUUCUAGAAAAAUGUUAGAAAAUUUCCCAUUUCAAAAAUUAAUAAUAUAUUUUGCGAUUGAUAUGGCAGCAACAAACAAGGGACACAUAUACAAAGUUCAGAACUGAACUCUCUGUACCUUGCGGAUGACCAAAGUAGAUUGUAAAGAAGGAAUCAAAUUGGAAUUUAUGGAGAUUAAUGGCUUUGCAGACUUAAAACUUUCCAAAUUAAAGCUGAUUGAUUGUUACUUGAUAUGCUUCAUAUGCUUAUUGUUUGCUACAAGUUAGAACGUGGCGAGUGUUUUUGUAGUAAGCAUCCACACGACCUAUUUCAAGAAACUGUCCAUACGUCAACUAAACGGAACCACUUCUCAAGUCCCAAUUUAUUCCUUCCAUGCAGUUCUUAGAGAAAACUGGGCAUUUUACUCUUGAAAGACAUACUAGUAUACCAUUUAAACAGAGAUCUGUCCCUGAAGAGCUGUGCCCAGAUGCUAUUAUAAAAGAAUAAAUUCAAAUCUGCAAUGGAUUAAAAAUUUAAGACACUUACAGUGAAUCUUCAAUGACAAGGCAGUUGGAAGGUUUGACGCUUAGCCUUUUUGAUGCUUCAAGAAAUCUUAAAUAAGCAAAACCCACAAAGUUAGAAUUUCAGAAGACUGAGAAUUUAUGUUUUAUUUAGACGAUAAAUAUUCACCAAAGUCAAGCUCAAGCAAUGAGUUGUUGCAUCUCAC